UAUUUGCAAUCCUGUUUGCAACUGCAUUUCCACUGUCAGCAAGGCAGUCCUGUCAUUUAAGCGCUGUGGGUUUGUUGGAUGUAUCAAGCGGGUUAAAGAAGACGCGAUAUCCAUCUGAACGGACACCAAUCACUGCCCCUUUGGACCCCGUUUGAGAAAGUCCUCAGCGAGCCGCCCACAGCACACAGCGCUACUGUCCACAUUGGUCCAGAAGCUGACUGGAUUUGUCUGUGUGCCACAACAACAUACUGGCAGUGGUCAAUUAAUGUGCACAAGUUAAAAAACUGCAGUUCUGAAGUGGAACAACAAAGCCACAGCUCAUGAGUUGGAUUCUGCUGUGGCCGAUCACCUCAAGCAUGCCCCCUGCAGAGCUUUUAACUUUUUUUUUUCUUUUCUUGUUUGACUUCUCAGAAACUAAAAUGCAAGAUUUUGUCUUGUUAAAUAAUCAUCUUGAUCUCCUUUACAUUAAAACAUUGAAAAUCAUGUACAAUACUGACACAGCUUAUGGUUCAAAGGUUUGAAAAUUCUUUCUGAAUUGAUGCAUAGGAUCUUUGUCUUAGUCCUAACGAAGUUCAUGGUCCAGUUUUAUGUUCCACAAAUGAAAUUAAUAAUAAGUACACGUUUUCAAUAAAGUUUCCAUUUA